AAAGUGACCCCAGGUCAGGCGGGACUA
rnacentral:rRNA from 1 species